CGGGCCGUCUGGGCAAUCGCGAGGCACACGUGCUUCGAGGAAAGUCCGGGCUCCACAGCACAGGAUGGUGGAUAACAUCCACUCGGGGUAACCCGCAGGCCAGUGCCACAGAAAGUAAACCGCCGCGGUUCGCCGCGGUAAGGGUGAAAGGGUGGUGUAAGAGACCACCAGCGGGCGCGGUGACGUGCCCGGCUAGGUAAACCCCAUUCGGAGCAAGGUCAAACAGAAUACGCCAUGGUAGGGUAGUGCGCCCGAUCCCCGUCAGCUUCCUUCACGGAGGUGGGGUGCGUAUUCGGGUAGGCUGCUUGAGACGUGCGGCAACGUACGUUCUAGAUAGAUGAUUGCCUCGAAACGCCCCUUCGGGCGGCGUUUUAGACAGAACCCGGCUCAUAGGAUGACCCGUUUC
rfam:Rothia mucilaginosa DY-18 DNA, complete genome.